rnacentral:rRNA from 1 species
CAGUCGUGAGGAAGGUGGUAGUGUUAAUAGCACUAUCAUUUGACGUUAGCGACAGAAGAAGCACCGGCUAACUCCGUGCCAGCAGCCGCGGUAAUACGGAGGGUGCGAGCGUUAAUCGGAAUUACUGGGCGUAAAGCGCAUGCAGGUGGUUUGUUAAGUUCAGAUGUGAAAGACCCGGGGCGUCAACCUCGGAAUAGCAUUUGAAACUAGGCAAACUAGAGUACUGUAGAGGGGGGUAGGAAUUUCAGGUGUAGCGGUGAAAUGCGUAGAGAUCUGAAGGAAUACCGGUGGCGAAGGCGGCCCCCUCGGACAGAUACUGACACUCAGAUGCGAAAGCGUGGGGAGCAAACAGGAUUAGAUACCCUGGUAG